rnacentral:tRNA from 2 species
UGGGGCUUCGCCAAGUUGGUUAAGGCACCGGAUUUUGAUUCCGGCAUUCCCAGGUUCGAAUCCUGGAGCCCCAGCCA